rfam:Anolis carolinensis chromosome Tnknown cont2.38002, whole genome shotgun sequence.
AUGUAUAAUGACAUAACCUAAAGUCACAAGAUCCCAUCUGAUCUUCGAAACUAAGCAGGGUCUGCUCUGAUUAGUACCUGAAUGGAGACCCAUCAAAGAAUACCAGGUGCUGUAAAAA